UGAUGGAGCAGCAGGUGUAUCCUGGUCCAUCAUCACAGCGGCCUCAUUGACCUCAGAGGGGGCGGGGUGAGAUGGUGCAAGGUCAGAGGGGGCGGGGUGAGAUGGUGCAAGGUCAGAGGGGGGUGGGGUCAGAUGGUGCAGCAUCAGAGGGGGCGGGGUCAGAUGGUGCAGCAUCAGAGGGGGCGGGGGCGGGGUCAGAUGGUGCAGCAUCAGAGGGGGCGGGGUCAGAUGGUGCAGGGU